rnacentral:lncRNA from 1 species
AGCUGGCUGCAAGCAGUCCAGGCAGUAGCGGCGGCGCUGGGCGACGGCGGCAGGUGGCGGGGGAGGUCGCCGAGGCUCGGGGCGAUGCCGGCGAAGGGCUAAGAGGUGGUGCAGCCUCGGGCCUCCUCUCAACCCGAGAGAAAAGAAAGAGAGAGAGAGAUAGAGAGGGAAGAAGAUGGGAGAUGGUGGCUGAGGCGACGGCUGCCGGCCGGGGCUCGGUCGGUGGCGGCCGGAAGGGGCGCAGUGUACGAGGUGAAGGGGGUAGGGCGGCUAGGUUAGCUGUGGAUCAUCUAGGGUUAGGGUUCCAAGGUGAAACCCUAGAAGACCUUAAAUACAUAAGGUGCAAUUUUGCACAAAAGCCCCUGAAAACUUAGAUUUUCUUGCUCAGUCCUCCACAGCGUGUGUAAAACGCGCGAAUACACCUCCACCUUCGAUUUCACGCGAAACAGUACAUAAAAUGUCGCACCUUUCGCAAAAAUAUUGUUUUUCCAUCACCGACCACUCCUCGGUCAACGCGGGAUCUCCGCAAAUCCGUUUAUUAGAUUUGCAAACGAAUAGCACCAAUGCGAUCAGCAUGACGGAGAUAACAAACCCACCAUUUUGUUUUGCCUCGAUCGGUCACAGAUUCGCGACGAAACCCGUUCCCUC